CCGGAUCAGUGGCGAACGGGUGAGUAACACGUGGGCAACCUGCCCUUCACUCUGGGAUAACCCCGGGAAACCGGGGCUAAUACCGGAUACGACCCCUGCAGGCAUCUGCGGGGGUGGAAAGUUUUUCGGUGAAGGAUGGGCCCGCGGCCUAUCAGCUUGUUGGUGAGGUAAUGGCUCACCAAGGCGACGACGGGUAGCCGGCCUGAGAGGGCGACCGGCCACACUGGGACUGAGACACGGCCCAGACUCC
rnacentral:rRNA from 1 species